AUUUAUAAACAAAGCUCUUGCAAUGAGGACUAAACUGCUUCAGUCAGGCAGAGGCAGCAAGAUGGUGUCAGAGACCCAAGUCCUCAUGUCUCUGCUGCUCUGGGUGUCUGGUACCUGUGGGGAGAUUGUGAUGACCAAGUCUCCAGCUCCCCUGGAUGUGUCAGCAGUAGAGAGAGAGUCACCAUCAGUUGCAAGUCCAGCCAGAGUCUUUAUUAUAGCUCAGAUCAGAAGAACUACUUGGUCUGGUACCAGCAGAAGCCAGGGUAGGCUCCUAAGAUGCUGAUGUACUGGGCAUCCACAUGGCAGACUGGGGUCCCUGAUUGCUUUAUAGGCAGUGGGUCUGGGAAAGAUUUCACUCUCACCAUCAGCAGUGUCCAGGCUGAAGAUCUGGCAGAUUAUUACUGUCAGCAGAUUUAUGAGGCACCUUCCACAAUACUUCACAUUCAAACACAAACCUCUGAGGGUUUCACCAACUGCUCGCACUUCACACAGCCCCAGAUGUGUAUACUUCCUCCAUCUGCCAAACAGCCG